AUCCGAUUAUCGGUAAGCAGGAACUUGAGUGCCAGAGGAGGGACAGUGGUACUCCAUGUGGUAGCGGGUGGAAUGCGUAAGAAUAAUAUGGGAAAGAACACCCAGUGGCGGAAGGCGGCUGUCUUGUCUGUAACUGACGCUGAGGGCUCCGAAGCAUGGUAGCGAACAGGAUUAGAUACCUGGUAGUCCAUGCCGUAAACGAUGAAUGCUAGGUGUGGGAGGGUUUCCGCCCUUCAGUGCCGCAGCUAACGCAUUAAGCAUUCCGCCUGGGGAGUACGACCGCAAGGUUGAAACUCAAAGGAAUUGACGGGGGCCCGCACAAGCGGUGGAGCAUGUGGUUUAAUUCGAAGCAACGCGAAGAACCUUACCAGGUCUUGACAUCUUUUGAUCACCUGAGAGAUCAGGUUUCCCCUUCGGGGGCAAAAUGACAGGUGGUGCAUGGUUGUCGUCAGCUCGUGUCGUGAGAUGUUGGGUUAAGUCCCGCAACGAGCGCAACCCUUAUGACUAGUUGCCAGCAUUUAGUUGGGCACUCUAGUAAGACUGCCGGUGACAAACCGGAGGAAGGUGGGGAUGACGUCAAAUCAUCAUGCCCCUUAUGACCUGGGCUACACACGUGCUACAAUGGAUGGUACAACGAGUUGCGAGACCGCGAGGUCAAGCUAAUCUCUUAAAGCCAUUCUCAGUUCGGACUGUAGGCUGCAACUCGCCUACACGAAGUCGGAAUCGCUAGUAAUCGCGGAUCAGCACGCCGCGGUGAAUACGUUCCCGGGCCUUGUACACACCGCCCGUCACACCAUGAG
rnacentral:rRNA from 1 species